GUGAUUAAAAUCGAGCGUGUCUUCAUUGACCGCUCACCCUUCUCACCAUCCACAUACACCUGUGCACUGUUUAGCCUGAGCCGGUUUUCCGGUCCAGGUUAUCAUUUCAUACAAACUCUAGUCUUAUGAAUGUAAACGUUUAAUAACAUAAUA
rnacentral:misc_RNA from 1 species